AUGUGUACAAGGACCAUCUAUUGUACAAAUAUUGAUAAUAAGGUUAACCAAUCUGAGCUCAAAAUUUUCUUCGAAAGAUCAUGCGGACCGGUGUAUCAUAUGAGGCUGCUCGGAGAUUAUCAUCAUGCCACUCGCAUCGCGUUUAUUGAAUUUGCAAGGGUUGGUA